GCUGCAAAUUUGGAGACGCACCCUAAAAUNGUGCCGGGGCUUCUCCCGUCG
rnacentral:tRNA from 1 species